rnacentral:rRNA from 1 species
GGGGAAUUUUGGACAAUGGGCGCAAGCCUGAUCCAGCAAUGCCGCGUGCAGGAUGAAGGCCUUCGGGUUGUAAACUGCUUUUGUACGGAACGAAAAAGCUCUCUCUAAUACAGGGGGUGAAUGACGGUACCGUAAGAAUAAGCACCGGCUAACUACGUGCCAGCAGCCGCGGUAAUACGUAGGGUGCAAGCGUUAAUCGGAAUUACUGGGCGUGAAGCGUGCGCAGGCGGUUUUGAAAGACAGAUGUGAAAUCCCCGGGCUUAACCUGGGAACUGCGUUUGUGACUGCAAGGCUGGAGUACGGCAGAGGGUGGUGGAAUUCCACGUGUAGCAGUGAAAUGCGUAGAGAUGUGGAGGAACACCGAUGGCGAAGGCAGCCCCCUGGGCCUGUACUGACGCUCAUGCACGAAAGCGUGGGGAGCAAACA